GGGAAACCGGAGCUAAUACCGGAUAAUAUAUUGAACCGCAUGGUUCAAUAGUGAAAGACGGUUUUGCUGUCACUUAUAGAUGGAUCCGCGCCGCAUUAGCUAGUUGGUAAGGUAACGGCUUACCAAGGCGACGAUGCGUAGCCGACCUGAGAGGGUGAUCGGCCACACUGGAACUGAGACACGGUCCAGACUCCUACGGGAGGCAGCAGUAGGGAAUCUUCCGCAAUGGGCGAAAGCCUGACGGAGCAACGCCGCGUGAGUGAUGAAGGUCUUCGGAUCGUAAAACUCUGUUAUUAGGGAAGAACAAAUGUGUAAGUAACUAUGCACGUCUUGACGGUACCUAAUCAGAAAGCCACGGCUAACUACGUGCCAGCAGCCGCGGUAAUACGUAGGUGGCAAGCGUUAUCCGGAAUUAUUGGGCGUAAAGCGCGCGUAGGCGGUUUUUUAAGUCUGAUGUGAAAGCCCACGGCUCAACCGUGGAGGGUCAUUGGAAACUGGAAAACUUGAGUGCAGAAGAGGAAAGUGGAAUUCCAUGUGUAGCGGUGAAAUGCGCAGAGAUAUGGAGGAACACCAGUGGCGAAGGCGACUUUCUGGUCUGUAACUGACGCUGAUGUGCGAAAGCGUGGGGAUCAAACAGGAUUAGAUACCCUGGUAGUCCACGCCGUAAACGAUGAGUGCUAAGUGUUAGGGGGUUUCCGCCCCUUAGUGCUGCAGCUAACGCAUUAA
rnacentral:rRNA from 1 species